rnacentral:rRNA from 1 species
UACAGAGGGGGCAAGCGUUGUUCGGAAUUACUGGGCGUAAAGGGCGCGUAGGCGGCCCGCUAAGUCGAACGUGAAAUCCUCGAGCUCAACUCGGGAACUGCGUCCGAUACUGGCGGGCUUGAAUCCGGGAGAGGGAUGCGGAAUUCCAGGUGUAGCGGUGAAAUGCGUAGAUAUCUGGAGGAACACCGGUGGCGAAGGCGGCAUCCUGGACCGGUAUUGACACUGAGGCACGAAAGCGUGGGGAGCAAACAGG